rnacentral:lncRNA from 1 species
UAUAAAUUACGUGGCGUAGCACUGUCAUUUAGGGGCUCUAAUGUUCUAAUUCUGAUUAUAUAUAACGGAGAGCCGAAAGCAAGCUUGCAUAUAUAAUGAAGAGGAUACAUCAGAGAUAUAUAUAAGGGUAACCGCUUUCUACUAUUUUAUUUCCACUGCUAAUACUUUUAUGUUCUUUCUUAAAAUACAAUUUGUAUUUCAUGUUAUCAAGUAAACAUCAGUGUUGAUGGUGGGACUUGCUGAGGCGGAGUUAUUGGUUAAUCCAUGACUAACGGGGCACAGCUCUCAAUUGCCCUGAGCAUUAAUUUUCUCUUGGAAUAAAAUGUUGCAUUCUUAUACCUUCCGGGAAGAGUUGAAGAAUGAUUGUUCUCAACGUUUUGCAUUAAUUAACUCAAAUAGGCAUGUGGUUAAAUCUUUUAACUUUACCGAGUAACUAUGGGACAGUCACAAUGAGAUGACGAGUGUAUAAUUUUUUUUUAAUUUCAAUUAGUUUUUGAUUAACUAUUGAGCAUAUUUUUAUGUAGGCUCUGCAAUGUUAAAUGAAAAAUAGUUUUUUCUUUUUCUUUUCCAAAACUUCUUCCAAAAGGAGUGGCCUCUAGAUUCCCAUUCCCUCCCAACGCACAAGGUAAAAAGAAAUGGGAAAUAAUUGCUCAUUUUUCUUUGCCUUUCACCCCUAUUUUAAUCUAUUUUUAGGAUUAUUGUAAAAAUAUAAGUUUCAACUGUUACUGCUUCAAUCUUUCCUUCUGAUUAAUUUUGGAGGAAACACAGCUAAUAACAAGCAGCCAUUCUUCCAUAAGAACCCUAAGCACUUUGGUAAGAGCCAACCCUCCUUCCAAAUUACUGAUCACUGAAAUUUCAACUCCUUCCUUACAUUUUUUCACUAAUAUUCUAUCCUGAUCAUCAUCACUUUUCAUAGAGGAAGAUGGUGCAGCCAAGUGAGAGUUAUGAUCAGAGCUACAAAUAUUUCUCAUUUCUUUCAAUCUUUCUCUAUUACAUGCCAGCUCCUCCAUAUUCUUCCGCAUGUCUUUUAUGUAAUCCACAAUCUCUUCUAAAUGAUCACAUAUUGAUCUCUUUCCCUAUAUAUCAUCAUAAAACAAUAUCAGAAUUAUGGUUUCUGAAUAGGAACAUUACAUGUAUAAUACAAUAAUCAUAUUUUUAGGAAAACAAAUUUCUAUGAGAAAGUCAUAAGGUGUUUGAUUGCAUUAUAUAGUACGUUUUUUAUUCACUAAUGAAGAAAAAUAUUCAGGUUUCGUCGUACCAAAUACAUUCUUAAUAUGUGUAUAUACUGACCAUGAGAUAUUUAGAAGGGAUAAGAAGGCGUAAACGCUGGGGUUUACUGUGAAAAUGGUAAUAACAAUUAAAUUUGAUUUAGUGGUUCUAAAAAUACGUGAUCUAUUUUUAUGCUAGUUGUUAGGCAGUUGAUGCCAUGUGAAAAACUUAGGAACGAGAUAAGAGCUUAAAAACAAGAUGUUAACCAAACCGAAUCGCUGACAAUCAGGGCCUCGAGCAUGCCUAUUCGAGGGCCUCGGGGUCGAGUCUGAAGCUCUGCUGGGAGCUAUCAAAUGUGGUCGAUGGUGAUUAACAGUUAUAAAUAAAUCAAAGACGGGCUCUUUAUGGCCAAUAAUAAGCAAUGAACAUGAAAUUUAAGUAGAACACAAUAAAUAUGAGCAAUAAAUUAAGUAAUAAAAUCAACAGAAUAUGUUAAAGAGCAGAGAGAAUGUUCUUGUAUGUUUAGUAUUGGAGCCACAGGUGUUUACAAAUGACAAUGAUCCUCUUUAUAUAAGAGGGGGAAUCCCAACAAAGUACAAAUGCAUUAAUUACAAAGAUAUAGGGCUGGUACAGCCAUUUAAUGCCUUGAUUCGCCUUUUGGGCUAGUCCACUAGACUUGACCCACGUGCCUUGGGAACUCCACCUUGAUCCGCCGAGACCGAUAAUCCACAAUGUCUCGGGGCCAAUUAUUAAUUAUACUGUCUCGAAGUCGAACUGUCUCGAAGUCGAUCAUUGAGAAUUCUCGGAGUCGAUCACUGGAAGCCCUCGAGAUGCCUUAAUGCCCGUGAAAUCGAGCCGUCGAUUUUCACCGUAUACAGAUAGUGCCCCCGUUUCCUAGAACAAAGUGAUAAACGAUUUUGAGCUCCUACUUCAUAAGCAUCAUCGCUAUGAUGUUAGCCCCUCAGAGCGUUAAAUGCCAUACUUCAAAAAGUUGUGCAAGGGUCAUCGUCAAACACGACUAUCGAGGAGCCCAUGACCCGCUAUUGGUUCGUCCUUUCCGCUGCCCACAUGGCUCCUAUAAAUGCACCACUCGUUGGUACUUCAUACUUUCACAAUAUCUUCAAAUUUUCAAGGCUAAAUCCAUCCCCCUUCACAUUCUUUCUUCCUCCGUUCUUGAUCCUUUGCCUACUUUCUCAGAAAAGUUUUGCCACUAUCAUGGCUAGAACUUCCAAGACAGUUCCUCGGAAAGAUGAGGCUGCCACUUCAUCCCGAACAUCCAAAGGAAAGCCCGAAGUGAUACCCAUCAUUAAACAAUGUACUCCCCCAUCGGGUUCGACACCAUGAAGGAUUUUACCGUCGACAAACCUUCAUCUAUAUCGGAUCGAUGAGAACAGGUGUCCCGGUACAUUAGCAUUGUGACCGACAUAGAGAAAGUGAAAGAAUACUAUCGAUGGGAGGAGGCAACACUGGUUGAGAUUCCCCGUUCUAAUGAGAGCAUAACUGAUCACAAAGCUGGUUUCCUUUAUGUAUAUACUUACCCAUUCACUCUAGGUCCAAUCGAUUCUUUUAACCUUUCUUCCUCAGAGAUAGAUCCAGUUAUUCUCGAGUUCUGUAAUAAGUACCAAGUGACACUUGGUCAAAUCUAUUCGUCUUUCUGGAGGAUAGUCUGCAUGAUCCUCCAUUUCUCCGAUGGGGUCGAGGGCGAGACCUUUACCCUCGACCAUCUGAUCAGAUUAUAUAGCCCUCGAUUUUAUUGAGGUUUGAUUAAGCUUCACCACCGGUCCAAAAAAUCAUUUUUCUCGAGCACUGAUGAGGACAAAGAUCGAGGGUGGAUGAGCAGGUUCGUCUGAGUGAGGACCUCAGAUAUCAUCGCGACCGGAAGGAUACCAUUCCCGGAGAAGUGGAAUACACAGCAUAAGUAUUUUUCCUUCGAACGUGUUCUGUGAUCCUCUUACCCCUGUUCUGAAAAAUAAUUUCCCCUUGGUCUUUGUAGCUACCGCUUGGGAUCCCGAAGUGAUUCAGGAUCUGCCGGGAUGGAUCGGGCAGUUGGAUACUUUGUUUUCGUAUCUCGUCCGGUUUUGGCCUGACCUGGCUGAAACGCGGUGGGUGGCCAAGAAUCAUGGUAAAGUUCUUCUUGACACUUAUAUCUUAAUCUUAUGCUUCUCCCCGGUAUCCUUCGUGCUAAUAAACUUCAGCCGCUGCGUUUGGGUAGGCCUUGGCGAUGGUGUGUGGAUGAGACCACCUCCCGAUGGCGAGGUGGAGACUUCGGAGCCCGCUAAGGAUAAGAAAAGGAAGAAUAAGGUGGUUGUUGAUUCCUCUGAGGCAAAGAAACCUAAAUCACGCAGGCCUCGAGCUGCCACCAGGACCUCGGCUUCAGCUUCCGGAGCAAGUCCCAGCACUAGGGAUGAAGAUAAUGAUGAGGGCCAGUACUAUUUAGUACAUAGAACAAGGUCGGGCAUGGGAGUCCCGCAGGUGCCCUGACCAGAGGCCGCUAAAUCAGGAACGGCCGAUUCGGAUCGGUCCCUUGAGGUGGAGACCCACGAGGAGGGCAAAGGCCGCUAAAUCGACGGGCAAAGGCUUCUGCCCUAUCUAAAGGGUGCUACCUAUUCUAAAGCUGAGCUGGGGGAAGCUUUUGAUCGUGACAGCAAUAGUAAAAAGUACGCGAAGUGUAAAUCUCGGAGGGAAACCCUCGAGGAAAUUCAUGCCAGGGGCUUCGACCUCUUGGAAGAGAUCAAGCAAGCAAAGGCGUAAGAACACGAUGCUAAAUUCCUUCUGUCUGAUGCCGAGGAUGGCGAGGAUGGGGCCGUCGGGCCAUUGUCCCCAAGGGGACGUAUCUUUCCUUCUCUGUCUCUGUAUAUAGUAUUUUCUAAGCAUGUUGUAAACGAAGCUUGUAUUUUUCCACAUGUAAGUAUAAAAAGGAAACUUCGUGGUUUUGUUUCUCCUGUAUUUCUUUUUGUCUUGAUUUUAGCCAGAUGAACUGGUCUUCGAGUUGAGAGGAAUACUUAGAUUCGUGGUAUGGCCCUGGGGCUCAUUAGGCUGGCCGUAGGCUCUUUACGUGCUUGGUGGAUGUGACCUUUUAUGUGGGUUGGCGACAAUGGCUCUUACACUUCUGCUCUUAGGCAUAUUUAGUUAACUGUUUUGGGUUCAGUCUCGAAAUCGAGUUUUGACUCGUUCUCAUUCGACCCUCAAGUUUUCGAAUUUAGGGCUGGUCCUUAAACUCUUACGUGUUGGGUCGGUAUGACCUUUUGUGUGGGAUGGGGACAAUGAGUCUUACGCCUUGGGUCGAUGAGACCUUUUAUGUGGGCUGACAGCAGUGUCUCUUACGCCUUGGGUCGAUGCGACCUUUUAUGUAGGCUUUAUUUUUUCCUUGAUAAGGAUUUUUUGAAAUAGUGUUUUCCUGACUCUUCAAUUUAAUAAAAAACCUCGAUUGUGAGUCAUUAUAUGGCGAUGAUCGAGCACCUCCGGAGGUUUGGCUCGGUGGCUGAGUAUCUCAAAGCCAGCGUUUAGGAGCUGACAUGGUCGAAGCACUUUUGCCUAUAUCGAGGGUAGCCUGUUUAACUGAUUCUUUCUGAAGUAUAUUCGAAGUGUGGAGGUCUGUGAUUUAUAGCGACGGUCGGGCAUCCCCGAGUCGCGUUAGUUUUGGCUGGUACAGCCUUGUGACCAGAGUCAUUUGUGUUUGGACGGAGCCUUUAUGUCCCGAGUGAAGUAGUUUCGAUAUCUAUAUCGAGGGUAUGCCUUUUUAUGGGUCUUACAAGUUUGAUAUAUAGCCUAAAAUUUGAGAUCAGGUUUAUGCCGUUAGUAAGGUCUUACAAUUUUUUCAUACCUUUGAGGUCUUACGGUUUUGGAUACUUGGUACAAGUAUGGUUCAUGCCUUGUUUGAGGUCUUACAGAUAUUGUCGUUGCCUUAUGUAGGUCUUACUAGACCGAGGCUGCCCGCAUGUGGCCUUACAGCCUCAGGUUUUGAUACGUCGAUGGAGAUGGAGAUUGACGACACUCCCCGAGUCAUUGAUGGUUUCUUGGCUUGGGAGCCAUUAUUUGUAGACUUGGGUAUUACCUUAUUAAGGGCUUGCGAUUUCGGAGUUUCCGACCCGGAGGUCAUGUGGUUUUGAGUUUUUGAUGCCAGUCCCCGAGUGUUCGGGACGUUUUUGGCUCUGGAGCCACUUUGUGAUCUUGAUGUUGCCUCAUUGAGGCUUUAUGAUUUAGGAGCUCUGACCCGGAGGUCGCAUUGUUUUGAGUGUUGACGCCAGACUCCAAGUAUCGGGACAUUUUUUUGGCUCUGGGGUCGUUUUUUGCAAAAAUAUCGAGUAUCCUUGAAAUGCAAAAUGCUUUUGGGAAUUAUUCUUUGAUCACUUGGUACAAGUAUACAUGUCUUUGCUAUUAAGGGCCUGAUUGUUCUAUAUGGACAGGAUUCAUUCGACCGUUUGGCCCGACACAUUAUUUUCCUAUUAAGCCCUUGUUUGGCGUAUCUUGGCUUCUUCGAGUAGGUGACCUUCCGGGGGGAUGCCCCCUAGUAUUUGAGGUUGAUUGCGAAAGAAGCCUUGAAUACUUGGAUCUUCUUUAGGUAGCAUGUAUAUGUUGCCUCGUUAAAAACCUUGCCGAUAAACCCUUUUCGGGAUAAAAACUCGGUCUAAGGAAAAGAGUGCAACGGAUGCUUUUAAAACCUUAAGGUCUUCGAGCUGGGUUAGCGCUUCGGCUGUCUUAGUCGGGCACCUAUAUAAUGGUGAGUACGAUAUGUAACUUGAAAAGGUAGAUGGUUGUACCUUAGUAGUGAUGGCGCUUUGAACCUCGGUAGGCCUUCCGUUAUAAGCUUGAAGAACGCGGUAUGACCCUUUGUUUGUUCAUUCAGAACAACCGAGAAUAUGCCUUAUGAUCGCCGUGUUGAAUCCGUUAAGGGUUCAAGAGGCGGGCAUAAUUUGGUCAAGCAGUCUAAGAUGCUCUGCUGCCUUCGACCUGAUAAUAUUGGCCUAGCUACCUGGACCCAUAAAUACAAGUUUAAUCUGAAGUGUAUCCACAAAAAAAGAAGUUACCAGUGCGUCAUUAUGGGGCUGAGAUAGAGCCUCGAGUUUGCCUCUUCCUGGUGAGUGGUGUUUUCGUUCUCCUAACCGUGGGUUCCUGUAGGGCACCGACACCUUAAAAGAUCAUAUGGGUGACAUGUUGCGGCUCAUUUGCUUCGUCCUUUUUGGUCGCCUCCCUUUCCCGAAAUUGAUUUUUGGCUCAAUCACUGAGGAAUUGCCGGAGGUGACCUUUGCUGAGUAGUCGGGCUACCUCUUCCUGGAUUUGUUGGCAAUCUUCGGUCCUGUGACCGUGCGUAUUGUGAAAUUCACACACUAAGUUAUGGUUCCUUUGUGAAGGAUCCGAUUGUACAGGCCUUAGCCACCUAGUGUCUCUGAUUUUACUAAUGGCGAAUAUGAUGUCUGAUACAUUAACCUUAAAGUUGUAUUCCGACAAGCGAGGUGCCUCCGCCGGCCCCGUGUACCUAUCCAACCCAGCUCUGUUGACGAGUCCCCGAGGAUUCUGGCCUCGGUCCAUUCUUCGAUCAGUGCGGGGUAUGUUACACCUUGGGGCAUUCCUCCUAUCUUCGGUGUAUGGUUGGUACCUUUCUUUGUUUUGCUUUGGCUCCUUUGCCAGAAGCUUGCUUGGGUAUACCAAGCCCGAGGGGGCUCCUAGUUGGUCGUCCUCAACCCCGAUCUUUGACUGGUAUUAGUUGUAAAUGUCCGACCAGGUCAUAGCAGGACACUCGACCAAGUUCUAUUUUAGCUGCUUUGAAGCAACCAAGCUUCGUUCAUUCAGGCCUUGAGUGAAGGCCUGUACUACCUAGUCGUCUAAGACUGUUGGUAGUUCCAUUCAUUCCAUUUGAAAGUGAGAUACGAACUUUCGCUGAAUCUGGUUCUCCCUCUACUUGAUUUUGAAGAUGUCAGAUUUCCUUGUUGCUACUUUGAUGUAACCGACAUGUGCCUUAAUGAAGGAAUCUACUAGUAUGGCAAAUGCGUCUAUAGAGUUAGAAGCUAGGUUGUGAUACCACAUCAUGGCACCCUUCGAGAGUGUUUCCCCGAACUUCUUUAGUAAGACAGACUCAAUCUCGUCGCCCUUUAGGUUGUUGCCCUUCACGGCGCAAGUGCAAGCAGUAACAUGCUCAUUGGGGUCUGAGGUCCCAUUGUAUUUUGGAAGGUCCGGCAUUUGAACUUCUUUGGAAUGGGUUUUGGAGCCUCUUCCUCUAGGAAUGACCUUUGUAUGAACUUCUUCGAAUCCACUCAUUUCAGGAUCGAGGGUGCGCCUGGAAUUUGGUCGACCGUGGAGUUGGAGGUUUCGACCUUUUUGUCAUUGGCUUUUAUCUUCUUCUCGCCUAAUUCGAUCCUCUUUGUGAGGUCCUCGAGCAUCCUUACGAUGGCAGGGUUGGCUACCAACCCGUUGUUGCUUGACCUCUCCGGUACCUGCUCGACCAGGGGAGCCGUCCCCGACACUACCUUGCUGGGAGUUUUCUGGUGACUUUGAAGCUGAGCAAUCGCUAGCAAUUGUGCCUGCAAUAUUUCAAAAAUAACGUGAAGGCUAACCUCCUGUUCUUCCCUAGCCUGGGUUUCGUUGGCUUCUUGUUGGUCUCCUUGGUGUACGCUCCUGUUAGUGUGGGAGCUUACAUCGACAUGUUGAGCAUCGCAUGAGACCGCGUCCAUGGAAAUUGGUUCUGGUGCGUUUUCAGGGUUUCGUGGUGGUACACCAGCACCUGGAACAUCUACACCAUUUUCUCCGUGGUUCUCAAGAUUGUUGUUCACUGAGUCAGCCAUUUUGACCUGAAAUCAAAGAUCUUGGGCAAGAAAAAGUGUGAAAGAUAACUUGCGUUAUGUAGCUAAACCAGCAAGAAAAUAAUCACUAUUAUUUUUUGCCCCACGGUGGGUGCCAAACUGUUUACUGUAAAAAUGGUAAUAAUAAUUAAAUUUGACUUAGUGAUUCUAAAAAUACGUGAUCUUUUUUAUGCUAGUUGUUAGGCAGUUGAUACUAUGUGAGACUUAAGAACGAGAUAAGAGCUUAAAAACGAGAUAUUAACCAAACCGAAUCGCUGACAAUCGGGGCCUCGAUCUUGCCUAUUCGAGGGCCUCGGGGUCGAGUCUGAAGCUCGGCUGGGAGCUAUCGAAGGUGGUCGAUGGUGAUUAACAGUUAUAAAUAAAUCAAAGACGGCUCUUUAUGGCCAAUAAUAAGCAAUGAACGAUGAACUUUUAGUAGAACACAAUAAAUACGAGCAAUAAAUGAAGUAAUAAAAUCAAGAGAAUAUAUUAGAGAGAAUGUACUUUUAUAUUUAGUAUUGGAGCUAGAGAUGUUUACAAAUGACAAGGAUCCUCUUUAUAUAAGAGGGAGAAUCCCAACAUAGUACAAACGCAUUAAUUACAAAGAUAUGGGGCCGGUACACCCAUUUAAUGCCUUGAUUCGCCUUUUGGGCUAGUCCACUAGACUUGACCCACGUGCCUUGGGAACUCCACCUUGAUCCGCCUAGACCGGUAAUCCACAAUGUCUCGGGGCCAGUUAUUAAUUAUACUGUCUCCAAGUUGAUCUGUCUCGAAGUCGAUCAUUGAGAAUUCUCGGAGUCGAUCACUGGAAGCCCUCGAGAUGCCUUAAUGCCCGUGAAAUCGAGCCGUCGAUUUCCACCGUAUACAGCUGGUAAAGGCGAGCCAUAUCGCGCCUUCUUUGCCUUUCAACAUCUCUGCGUUCGACUUUCUUCUCAGUAUUCUCUUUUUCUUUAGGGGGUUUGAUCUUGAUCAAUAUUGGCGAUUGCAGCUUUCCUUUUAGGCACAAGAGUAUUGUCAAGAUUACAGCUUUGUGUUUGUAAUGGAACUGAUGAAUUCGUUGUCAGAGGAGGAUGAGGAG